ACAUACGGCCACAGUCAGCUGAAAACUGGGCAUCCCGUCCGCUCUGCCAUACAUAAGCAGUUGAACGGCAGAUUAGUACUACGGUGGGUGACCACGUGGGAAUCCCUGCUGCUGUAUGUUUUA
rnacentral:rRNA from 1 species